CUGGAUAGGUGCGUGCUCAAAGCCUUCUGCCAUUGUAUGGUGAUAUUCUGUGUGUUGUGGCUGUCUCAACAGCAAAACGUGCUGUCAUAGGUGUCUCUUUUUGCUUUUUCCAUGUUCCCCUCCCUCAGCAAUGGCACCUGCACCGCGCACCAGGUUGUGAGUUUCCCAAUGCUCACACAGUGGCUGGAGUAAGUCUGCCAUGGGAGAAUCUGCUGUGUUUGGUGUGGCAUGAGAAGGCAGAAAUGCUUUGCACCUUAAAUAAUACCUUCCUCCAAGGAUCUCAAGGCACAUAGCAAACACUGGCUGAGCUUCACCUUCUUAUGGGGAGAUGUGGUAAUCUACAUAACCUUUUCCUUUCCUGAGUGGCUAGUCAGCCUGAACUUGAAAAAUUGGCAUGCUGAACCAUCAGGACCAGUUAUGAAACACUUUAAUCCAUAUUUCUUUUGGAAUAAUGCAACAUCUUACAGAUAAUAGAUUAAUGGAACUGAGAAAUCCAAGAAGGAAAGUGGAGGCUGAGUGACGCUGAUUACUCUGGAAGGUGUCAUGUCAUUGAUAGUUUUUGUUUUUUAUGCUGAUAUUAACUACACACUGUAAAGUGAAACCAGGAUUUGGAAACUGUGAAUUGCUACUCAACAAAAUGAGUGAGGAAAGAAGUUUCAGUGGGAGACUAUGUUGACUGCAUCAAGGUGAAAGGGGAGGAAGGAUCUAUUGCCAGUCUUGCCCCAAGUGACUUUGUGACUGUGGAUUUCUUUGCCUUCUUCCAGUUUCAGCCAUGUCAG